CCUACGGGUGGCAGCAGUGAGGAAUAUUGGUCAAUGGGCUUACGCCUGAACCAGCCAAGUCGCGUGAGGGAAGACUGCCCUAUGGGUUGUAAACCUCUUUUGUCAGGGAGCAACGCCCGCUACGUGUCGCCGGACUGAGAGUACCUGAAGAAAAAGCAUCGGCUAACUCCGUGCAAGCAGCCGCGGUAAUACGGAGGAUGCGAGCGUUAUCCGGAUUUAUUGGGUUUAAAGGGGGCGUAGGCGGAAUGCCAAGUCAGCGGUAAAAUCGCGGGGCUCAACCUCGCUCCGCCGUUGAAACUGGCGUUCUGGAGUGGGCGAGAGGUAUGCGGAAUGCGUGGUGUAGCGGUGAAAUGCAUAGAUAUCACGCAGAACUCCGAUUGCGAAGGCAGCAUACCGGCGCACAACUGACGCUGAGGCACGAAAGCGUGGGUAUCGAACAGGAUUAGAUACCCGGGUAGUC
rnacentral:rRNA from 1 species